rnacentral:rRNA from 1 species
GAUGAACGCUGGCGGCGUGCUUAACACAUGCAAGUCGAACGAAGCACUUUAUUUGAUUUCCUUCGGGACUGAUUAUUUUGUGACUGAGUGGCGGACGGGUGAGUAACGCGUGGGUAACCUGCCUUGUUCAGGGGGAUAACAGUUGGAAACGGCUGCUAAUACCGCAUAAGCGCACAGCAUCGCAUGAUGCAGUGUGAAAAACUCCGGUGGUAUAAGAUGGACCCGCGUUGGAUUAGCUAGUUGGUGAGGUAACGGCCCACCAAGGCGACGAUCCAUAGCCGACCUGAGAGGGUGACCGGCCACAUUGGGACUGAGACACGGCCCAAACUCCUACGGGAGGCAGCAGUGGGGAAUAUUGCACAAUGGGCGAAAGCCUGAUGCAGCGACGCCGCGUGAGCGAAGAAGUAUUUCGGUAUGUAAAGCUCUAUCAGCAGGGAAGAUAAUGACGGUACCUGACUAAGAAGCACCGGCUAAAUACGUG